AUUGAACGCUGGCGGCAUGCCUUACACAUGCAAGUCGAACGGCAGCAUGGAGAGCUUGCUCUCUGAUGGCGAGUGGCGAACGGGUGAGUAGUGCAUCGGAACGUACCGUGUAAUGGGGGAUAACGUAGCGAAAGUUACGCUAAUACCGCAUACGACCUGAGGGUGAAAGCAGGGGAUCGCAAGACCUUGCGUUAUACGAGCGGCCGAUGUCAGAUUAGCUAGUUGGUGAGGUAAAGGCUCACCAAGGCGACGAUCUGUAGCGGGUCUGAGAGGCGCAUCCGCCACACUGGGACUGAGACACGGCCCAGACUCCUACGGGAGGCAGCAGUGGGGAAUUGUGGACAAUGGGGGCAACCCUGAUCCAGCCAUGCCGCGUGAGUGAAGAAGGCCUUCGGGUUGUAAAGCUCUUUCGGCCGGGAAGAAAUCGCACAGGCUAAUACUCUGUGUGGAUGACGGUACCGGCAUAAGAAGCACCGGCUAACUACGUGCCAGCAGCCGCCGUAA
rnacentral:rRNA from 1 species